GUCAAUGGCGCCGUGGUAAGCGCGGUUGCCUCAUAAACAGCGUGUCCGUGGUUCUAGUCCCGGCAGUGACG